rnacentral:rRNA from 1 species
AACGAACGCUGGCGGCAUGCCUAACACAUGCAAGUCGAACGAGACCUUCGGGUCUAGUGGCGCACGGGUGCGUAACGCGUGGGAACCUGCCCUUAGGUUCGGAAUAACUCCCCGAAAGGGGUGCUAAUACCGGAUAAUGUCUUCGGACCAAAGAUUUAUCGCCUUUGGAUGGGCCCGCGUUGGAUUAGCUAGUUGGUAGGGUAAAAGCCUACCAAGGCGACGAUCCAUAGCUGGUCUGAGGGGAUGAUCAGCCACACUGGGACUGAGACACGGCCCAGACUCCUACGGGAGGCAGCAGUGGGGAAUAUUGGACAAUGGGCGAAAGCCUGAUCCAGCAAUGCCGCGUGAGUGAUGAAGGCCCUAGGGUUGUAAAGCUCUUUUACCCGGGAUGAUAAUGACAGUACCGGGAGAAUAAGCUCCGGCUAACUCCGUG